rnacentral:rRNA from 1 species
AUAUCAAUAAGCGGAGGAAAAGAAACUAACAAGGAUUCCCUUAGUAACUGCGAGUGAAGCGGGAAAAGCUCAAAUUUAAAAUCUGGCAGGCUUCGCUUGUCCGAAUUGUAGUUUAAAGAGGUGUUUUCGGUGGCCGACUGGGUAUAAAUCUUUUGGAACAAGGUAUCAUAGAGGGUGAGAAUCCCGUCUUUGACUCAGUAUGUGCUACUAUGUGAUACACUCUCAAAGAGUCGAGUUGUUUGGGAAUGCAGCUCAAAAUGGGUGGUAAAUUUCAUCUAAGGCUAAAUACAGGCGAGAGACCGAUAGCGCACAAGUA